rnacentral:rRNA from 1 species
CAGUCGCCGCGGGAAUACGAAGGGGGCUAGCGUUGUUCGGAUUACUGGGCGUAAAGGGCGCGUAGGCGGACUGAUAAGUCAGGGGUGAAAUCCCAAGGCUCAACCUUGGAACUGCCUUUGAUACUGUUUGUCUUGAGUUCGAGAGAGGUAAGUGGAACUGCGAGUGUAGAGGUGAAAUUCGUAGAUAUUCGCAAGAACACCAGUGGCGAAGGCGGCUUACUGGCUCGAAACUGACGCUGAGGCGCGAAAGCGUGGGGAGCAAACAGGAUUAGAUACCCCCGUAGUCCCUGUCUCUUAUACA